GCUUGGCAACUGUGUUGAGUGCUAUGUGAGGCAGUGUGUUAGAGGAACGCUGCUGCCCUUCAUGUGGAUUUGGCUGUUCUAACAGAAUCGGGUCAGUGACUGUGGAGCCUGGAGGGGGUUCGACUCUUCUGCUGUGGGGGGAGGCGCAGACAACCUGGCAGGAUCUGGAGCGCCUUCAGCAGCUCUGACCACCUUCAGGAGCAUCUGUGAGCAGAACAAACAGCCGGGUAAUUGUUAAAGGUGCUGUUGCUGGACCCUCGGAAACAAAGCCCCCGGCUAUGCUGUUUCUGGAGACAACUGGAGCAGGUGGAGCACUCAGAAUGCAGUGAUCGGGAUCACCAGAGACUGGACUAGUAUCUGACUGGACACUGCAGCAGGUGGCAGGAGUGACCAGGUGAAGAAGAACUGAGGGUUUGACCUUCUGCUGAAUUCUGAAAGUCAGGCUGGACCAUCGUUCUCCUGAUGCUGUAUCAGGAAUCUGUCGUGUUUAUGCAGACUGGCUUUAGGAGGAGGCUCUUCACCCACCACAGGAAAAUGCUAAACUAUGCCAUGGGCCAUGAAGAGCCCAGAGAGCAGAAGAGUGAAAGCAGGGAGGAGUCCAUUCUAGCCUUCCUGGGAAUCGCUGGAACCAUCCUUAACCUCCUGGUCAUCAUCUUUGUCUACAUCUACACCUCCAUUUGAACAAAAUCCAUCACAUUGUGAUGCAGAUCAAUUUGAACUGUGGAACAGACAGAGUACCCCUCACUGGGGGUUAUGGACAGUUCCUGGACAUCAGAACAACUCAACCUGUUACUUUAUUGGGUUAUUUAUAUUUUAUUCCAUUUGAGAGCGCGUAGUCUGUUCAUACUGUUCAUAAGUUCUGAGAUUCACAUGGCCAAGCACAACAUCUCUGUAAACGUUUUGAAACUGCUUUUGGAUGAUUUUCUACAUGAUCCUGUUUCUUAGACGGUAGAGGUCGAAUUAAAGCUUAUAUUCUGAAAACAUGUCUGCUGUGGUCUGUUCUGGGGUCCUGGAGAUCAGUUUGAACACACAUAACCUUGAUUUAUUACAGCUUCCAGUCUUUUCAGGAGACUCACUUACAGUUUCUCUGCAG